UUUGAUUUCAUUCCUAUAACGGGUAAUGGCAGAUAUGACUAGCUCCUGAUGAUAGACGCUAAACCAUCCAGCCUGUCCCCAAAUGAUGCCUUGGCCAGAAGCUUGAAAAAAUAAAUAUUGUAUAACUUUGUAGUAUUCAGGAUGGUCACGAGGCAAAGAUAUCUUCCUUUCCGUAUCAUAUUUGUCAGCUAAAUAGAUUAAAAUGGCAUCAGAUUCCCAAAUGGUAUAAUCGUUAUUGUGGUGAUCAAUCAAGGUAGGUACUCUACCGUUAGGGUUUAAGGCUAAGUGUUCGGGGGAUUUCUGCUCAUUUUUUGAAAAAUUCACAUAUCUGGUUUCAUAGGUAAGGUCCAACUCCUUCAGCGCUUGAACCACCUUCCAUGGAUUAGGACCAUGAGCAUGCGACCAUAAAGUGAAUUGAGCCAUGAUACUUUAUUUUGAGUGUGUUCUAUUGUUAAAUGAAAGGAGUUUGGCAAUGGAUUAAAAUAUAAAGAGCAUCUUUACCAUUUUAUAUACAAUUCUUACUUCCAUUGCGUAUGCAAUAUUUAUGAAAAAUUUUGGAAAACACCCGAAAUCGAGUUGAUCAAUUUCAUCCAACUUACUAAUCGAUCAUACAUUAGACUCAUACGUGGAUUCAACUAAAUUUUACUCGAUUAGCUGACGACAAGCCGGAAGUUAUGAUUUAUGUCAAAACGUGAUCAAAGAAAGAUAAAUCUACUACCGAUUCCAUUUACUAAUACAUUUGAAUCCUGUUAGCCGGUUACACGCUACAUUUAAUCAAUCUUGUAAUGCAUCAAAAUUUCAUGUAAAAUUUCUACCAACAUAUAGUGCGUGGGGACUGACUUCUCGUUUUGUUUAACUAUGUAUAAUCCUUGUGGGAAAUAAACGUAUGCUUAGUGUUAUAUUUAAUUUCUUAAAGGGUCGGCUUAAUGCAAUUCCAAAUUCAAAUGCAAUUAAAACUGUUUCAGGUUCUUAAGACAUGUAGUUUUCAGAAUUUACGAGUCAGUUGAAUAGACAUCUUAUGAUAAAGUUAAUAUAAAAAUAAUAAAAUAGUCUCAACCAUACGCUCGAGAUUUAUUUUGUUCACCACCUGUUCAAAAACCAACGUGUCAAACUUGCUUUUAGAC